CUGUCAUUGGCUGCACUUAUCUAUAUAUCAUCCUUCCACACUGCAGCCUCCUUAGACAGUUGUCCAGAUCUAAUUAACUGUGUGUCCCCAAACAUCUAAUACAGUAGGUCACACGUUGGCUGAUUAAUGUUUGUUGGAUGAAUAAACCUGAAGUUGGCCUUAUAUUACUUUGCUGCAAAUAAGCAAAGUUAAUCUUUUAUUACAAAUAUGCUGAAGUAUCCAUAAUAUGCCUAAAAACUGACUAUAUUGUAACAUCCUUGAUAUAGGGAUGACCUAUCUUGUUGAAUGUCAUUCCUAGUAGAAUAAUGGACAAAUGGUAGGUGUGAAUUAAAUAUUUGUCAAUGAGACAAUGCACAUCUUUCAUUCUACCCUUAUAAGAUAAGCAAACUCUGGGUGCUGAGCAUAAGUCUAGUUUUACCUUUUAUGACACUCCCCAGAAUGGGCAACAAUUUUUUUUUUUAAUCCUGAAGCUCUGACAUAUGUUUGGUUUUCCAGACUCACUAGUUCAGACUGACAGACACGUUAUCUUUCCUGCUUAAGCACUUUCCUUAAUAGGUGGCGUCUGGUGCCCUUAAACAUAAAUGUACUCCCACGUGGGAGAGUGGCUGUUUUUCAGCUGUAGUGAUGGGCUGGGCAGUGCUCUGUCAGAUCAAUUAUGUAGAAGACCCAUCUUUUCUAAGGUUCCCUCGAUUUUUUUUUUCUCCUGACAGUUCACCUUGUGCCCAACCUUCUGUCUCCCAGAAGUCAGACCUGCAGACAAUUGCAUGCCAGUGGCUGUCUUCCCUCCUGAGAACAUGACACAAAGGAACACUUCCCUGUCAAACUCUUCAUUAUCCUUCUGAUGAAUCUUCCCUGAUUUCUAGAAUGGGCUGAAACAUGGCAGGAGACAGAUACCUUCCGCGUAUUUUCACUAACAUGUCAUGAGGAAAACCAGCACUCCUCAGUUGCUUUUAAAUAGAUGAGGUGGUAUCUCAGGGUGAGACCAAUUUUCUUCUAGUUUGCCUCAUUUUCUAUUUUUUUCCCCUGAAGUCACUGCUGCUGUGACCACAGGGAAUAGGGUAAACUGUCCAGGGUGGUUGAGGGAGGCCAGGAGUCUCUGCAGGCGAGGUUUCUCCUGUCUGGGCCACCAUGAACAACGUGCAGGGGAGCUGUUUGGCUUCCAAGCACAUAUUGUUGGUGAAACUUCAUAAACCCCUCCUGGGGUGUGCAGAGGAGAUGACGGCAUAGAUUUCGGUUAUUUCAGUCAAGUUUUCAUAGUGUAACUUGGCAGAAGCCAGCCCAGGCAUAAGGAGAGCAGCUGGCAGGGGGCACCGUUGGGGGUAUCCAAAAAGUGGUAACUCUUGUCAUAUUACAGAAGUGCAAGGUGGCAAAGGAGGUCAGCACACUCUCCAAAUAUAUUCAGGAUGUGGCCACUUCUUUACUUUUCUUGCUUACACCAACUGAGCCGACAUGACUGCUCCAACUGGACUCCUGCAAUAGACUCUCCUCUGUCUCCGUGUCCUCUCUUUAAUUUUUUUUUAAAUUAGCAUGUGUUAUUUAUAUGUUCAUGGGGUUCUGUGUGAUAUUUCCAUACAUGCAUAUGCAUGCACUGAUUACAUCAAAUCCUCUUUUUCUAGCAUUCUUCUUGUACCCUUCCUAAUACCUGAUACUUUCGUCUACUUUCAAGUCUUCUUCUUCUUCUUUUAGCUUCUAUAUGUGAGACAGAACAUGAAGUGUCUGUGUUUCUGUAUCCAGCUUAUUUCACUUAACAUAAUAUCUUCUAAUUCCAUCCAUUUUUCUGCAAAUGGCAGGAUUUCAUUCUUUUUUGUGAAUACUCCUCUAUGGUGUGCAUAUAUAUAUAUAUAUAUAUAUAUAUAUAUAUAUAUAUAUAAACAUGAUAUAUAUAUCAUGUUUUCUUCAUCUAUUCAUCUGUUGAUGAACCCUAAGCCUGUUUCCAUGUCUUUGCUAUUGUAAAUAGUGCCACAGUAAACAUAGGUGUACAGGUAUCUCUUUGAUAUGAUAAUUAAUUUCCUUUGGUUAUAUACCCAGAAAUUAGAUAGUUAGAGCAUAUGGUAGUUCUAUUUUUAGUUUUUUUUUUUAAGAAACCUCCAUACUCUUGUCCUUCAGGACUGUACUAAUUUAUAUUCUAACCAACAGAAUAUAAGAAUUCCCCUUCCUCAACAUCCUUACCAGCUUUGCUAUUUUUUGUUUUUGAUGAUAAAAAUUCUACCUGGGUGAAAUGUCAUCUUAUGGCACUUUUGAUUUACAUUUCCCUAAUGGCUAAAGAUAUGCAGCAUUUUUUAAAAAAUCACAUACCCCUGUAUCCUCUCUUAUCCCCACCAAACAGCAGGUACCCUUGUGUUUUUAAAAUGAAAAUUGUUUAAAAUCCUUAAAAGCCUCCUAUGAAUUCCUCUCUCAAUUAGAAUAAAACUUAGCUUCUUCUGGUGGACUGCCAGGCCCAGGGACCUUGCUACUCUUCCUUCCAGACCUCAUCUUCUAUCCUCCUCCCCAGGACAUUGUGAUCAUGGUGGCCUUCCCCAUCAUGUGGAGGCACCAGGUUUCCUCUUUUUUUAAAAAAAGAGGAUAUUUAUUUUUUAGUUUCAG
rnacentral:lncRNA from 1 species